rnacentral:ncRNA from 1 species
CUUUGCUCUAAUUGGAUCAUCAUAGGUCUCAUGUAAAUGUCACAUGUUGAUUGCUCUGGUCUGAUUUUUCUUGAACCAGCACUGUGGUAGGAGGAAUGGGUUUAUAUUGAUGGGUUUAGACUAGUCCUAGCUUACCCACUAAGGCUGGGAGUAAGAUCAAAUCCACCCCAUUCUCCUGGCUACUACACAAUAGGAGGUAGAGAAAUCUAAGAGCGGAUUCUUACGGGGGUGCAAUAUUUGUAGGAUUGAAGAAGCUCAGUGCCCGGUGGGGAGUUUGCCUGGGGCAGUACACCUGUCAAACAGUAACAUAGGGGUCCUACGGCCAGCUCAGGGAGGACAGAAAAUUCCUGUGGAGCAGAAGGACAAAAGCUCAUUUGAUCUUGACUUUCAGUAUGAAUACAGACCGUGAAAGCGGGGACUCACGAUCCUUCUGACCUUUAGCCAUCAAGGUGAUGGGGAUAAUGACUGAUAAAAGGUCAUUCAUUUGGGUGAUUAGCAAAAUUCUUCGUGGCCUUGAGAUGGCAGCUUUAGUUGAGAAUUGGUCACCAAUGAAAUACAGCAAGAUGCUGAGAAGAAAUUGGAAGAUGAGAAGAUGAUGUGUAGACUAUUCUUUCAGAAAGAAGGAUGAUGAUAGAAGAG